rnacentral:lncRNA from 1 species
GAGAGAAUGCACAUACACGGAACUCAGCAAAUUCUCUCUCGCAUCAUCAAUUUCCAGGAGCUUCUAGGUCGUCAUUCCCUCUUCAUACUCGGCCACCUCCACUCCACUGGUGGCCGGCACUCAUCUCCGAUUGCCGACCGCUAUAGUCUCUUCGCAUUUGAACCUCAGAGAAUAAAGCAGAGAGUAGAGGGAAGGAAUUCUCAUGUUCAGUUGUGAUUCUCUCUCGAUUUCCUCUAUGCAUCCUUAUCCCUCUCUCCGUCACCAGUUGUCGUCGCAGGCCACUUCCCCAACACCGCCAGCUUUGCAGCCACAGGAAGUGCUCUGUUCGCUUCCGUUUUUUAGGCCAACUUCAACGAAUUGCUUGAUUCUCCUUCUCCCUCCUUUAGCCUGUUCCAGUCUUUGGUGCUACAAUUCCUGAAGCUUCACUCCUCUGAUUUGAUCACCAAUC